AGAGUUUGAUCAUGGCUCAGAUUGAACGCUGGCGGCAGGCCUAACACAUGCAAGUCGAGCGGAAACGAGUUAUCUGAACCUUCGGGGGACGAUAACGGCGUCGAGCGGCGGACGGGUGAGUAAUGCCUAGGAAAUUGCCCUGAUGUGGGGGAUAACCAUUGGAAACGAUGGCUAAUACCGCAUGACGCCUACGGGCCAAAGAGGGGGACCUUCGGGCCUCUCGCGUCAGGAUAUGCCUAGGUGGGAUUAGCUAGUUGGUGAGGUAAGGGCUCACCAAGGCGACGAUCCCUAGCUGGUCUGAGAGGAUGAUCAGCCACACUGGAACUGAGACACGGUCCAGACUCCUACGGGAGGCAGCAGUGGGGAAUAUUGCACAAUGGGCGCAAGCCUGAUGCAGCCAUGCCGCGUGUAUGAAGAAGGCCUUCGGGUUGUAAAGUACUUUCAGUCGUGAGGAAGGUAGUGUAGUUAAUAGCUGCAUUAUUUGACGUUAGCGACAGAAGAAGCACCGGCUAACUCCGUGCCAGCAGCCGCGGUAAUACGGAGGGUGCGAGCGUUAAUCGGAAUUACUGGGCGUAAAGCGCAUGCAGGUGGUUUGUUAAGUCAGAUGUGAAAGCCCGGGGCUCAACCUCGGAAUAGCAUUUGAAACUGGCAGACUAGAGUACUGUAGAGGGGGGUAGAAUUUCAGGUGUAGCGGUGAAAUGCGUAGAGAUCUGAAGGAAUACCGGUGGCGAAGGCGGCCCCCUGGACAGAUACUGACACUCAGAUGCGAAAGCGUGGGGAGCAAACAGGAUUAGAUACCCUGGUAGUCCACGCCGUAAACGAUGUCUACUUGGAGGUUGUGGCCUUGAGCCGUGGCUUUCGGAGCUAACGCGUUAAGUAGACCGCCUGGGGAGUACGGUCGCAAGAUUAAAACUCAAAUGAAUUGACGGGGGCCCGCACAAGCGGUGGAGCAUGUGGUUUAAUUCGAUGCAACGCGAAGAACCUUACCUACUCUUGACAUCCAGAGAACUUUCCAGAGAUGGAUUGGUGCCUUCGGGAACUCUGAGACAGGUGCUGCAUGGCUGUCGUCAGCUCGUGUUGUGAAAUGUUGGGUUAAGUCCCGCAACGAGCGCAACCCUUAUCCUUGUUUGCCAGCGAGUAAUGUCGGGAACUCCAGGGAGACUGCCGGUGAUAAACCGGAGGAAGGUGGGGACGACGUCAAGUCAUCAUGGCCCUUACGAGUAGGGCUACACACGUGCUACAAUGGCGCAUACAGAGGGCGGCCAACUUGCGAAAGUGAGCGAAUCCCAAAAAGUGCGUCGUAGUCCGGAUUGGAGUCUGCAACUCGACUCCAUGAAGUCGGAAUCGCUAGUAAUCGUGGAUCAGAAUGCCACGGUGAAUACGUUCCCGGGCCUUGUACACACCGCCCGUCACACCAUGGGAGUGGGCUGCAAAAGAAGUAGGUAGUUUAACCUUCGGGGGGACGCUUACCACUUUGUGGUUCAUGACUGGGGUGAAGUCGUAACAAGGUAGCGCUAGGGGAACCUGGCGCUGGAUCACCU
rnacentral:rRNA from 1 species